CGGCGUGCUUAACACAUGCAAGUCGAACGCGAAAGGGACUUCGGUCCUGAGUAAAGUGGCGCACGGGUGAGUAACGCGUAGAUAACCUGUCUUCAUGUCUGGAAUAAUACGCCGAAAGGGGUACUAAUACCGGAUAUUCUUGCUUUUCAUAAGUUAUGCAAGCAAAGGUGGCCUCUGCAUAUGCUACUGCAUGAAGAGGGGUCUGCGUACCAUUAGCUAGUAGGUGGGGUAAUGGCCUACCUAGGCGACGAUGGUUAGCGGGUCUGAGAGGAUGAUCCGCCACACUGGCACUGGAACACGGGCCAGACUCCUACGGGAGGCAGCAGUGAGGAAUAUUGCGCAAUGGGGGAAACCCUGACGCAGCGACGCCGCGUGAGUGAAGGAAGGCCUUCGGGUCGUAAAGCUCUGUCAAGAGGAAAGAAGUGUACAAUGGCUAAUACCUGUUGUAUUUGACGGUACCUCUAAAGGAAGCACCGGCUAACUCCGUGCCAGCCGCUGC
rnacentral:rRNA from 1 species